rnacentral:ncRNA from 2 species
AUAAUUUGCUAGGGGUGCCUUUGUGCUGAGAGGCUUUUCGCCGACCCUUAUUACUUGAACUGGAUAAUACCAGCGUAAGGAAGCUAUUUUAGACGAUC